GGGUUGUGAGGUUAAGCGACUAAGCGUACACGGUGGAUGCCCUGGCAGUCAGAGGCGAUGAAGGACGUGCUAAUCUGCGAAAAGCGUCGGUAAGGUGAUAUGAACCGUUAUAGCCGGCGAUGUCCGAAUGGGGAAACCCAGUGCAAUUCGUUGCACUAUCGUUAACUGAAUACAUAGGUUAACGAGGCGAACCGGGGGAACUGAAACAUCUAAGUACCCCGAGGAAAAGAAAUCAACCGAGAUUCCCCCAGUAGCGGCGAGCGAACGGGGAGCAGCCCAGAGUCUGAAUCAGCUUGUGUGUUAGUGGAACGGUCUGGAAAGUCCGACGGUACAGGGUGAUAGUCCCGUACACCAAAAUGCACAGGUUGUGAACUCGAAGAGUAGGGCGGGACACGUGGUAUCCUGUCUGAAUAUGGGGGGACCAUCCUCCAAGGCUAAAUACUCCUGACUGACCGAUAGUGAACCAGUACCGUGAGGGAAAGGCGAAAAGAACCCCGGCGAGGGGAGUGAAAAAGAACCUGAAACCGUGUACGUACAAGCAGUGGGAGCACCUUCGGGUGUGACUGCGUACCUUUUGUAUAAUGGGUCAGCGACUUAUAUUCUGUAGCAAGGUUAACCGUAUAGGGGAGCCGCAGGGAAACCGAGUCUUAACUGGGCGUUAAGUUGCAGGGUAUAGACCCGAAACCCGGUGAUCUAGCCAUGGGCAGGUUGAAGGUUGGGUAACACUAACUGGAGGACCGAACCGACUAAUGUUGAAAAAUUAGCGGAUGACUUGUGGCUGGGGGUGAAAGGCCAAUCAAACCGGGAGAUAGCUGGUUCUCCCCGAAAGCUAUUUAGGUAGCGCCUCGUGAACUCAUCUUCGGGGGUAGAGCACUGUUUCGGCUAGGGGGUCAUCCCGACUUACCAACCCGAUGCAAACUACGAAUACCGAAGAAUGUUAUCACGGGAGACACACGGCGGGUGCUAACGUCCGUCGUGAAGAGGGAAACAACCCAGACCGCCAGCUAAGGUCCCAAAGUCAUGGUUAAGUGGGAAACGAUGUGGGAAGGCACAGACAGCCAGGAUGUUGGCUUAGAAGCAGCCAUCAUUUAAAGAAAGCGUAAUAGCUCACUGGUCGAGUCGGCCUGCGCGGAAGAUGUAACGGGGCUAAACCAUGCACCGAAGCUGCGGCAGCGACACUAUGUGUUGUUGGGUAGGGGAGCGUUCUGUAAGCCUGCGAAGGUGUGCUGUGAGGCAUGCUGGAGGUAUCAGAAGUGCGAAUGCUGACAUAAGUAACGAUAAAGCGGGUGAAAAGCCCGCUCGCCGGAAGACCAAGGGUUCCUGUCCAACGUUAAUCGGGGCAGGGUGAGUCGACCCCUAAGGCGAGGCCGAAAGGCGUAGUCGAUGGGAAACAGGUUAAUAUUCCUGUACUUGGUGUUACUGCGAAGGGGGGACGGAGAAGGCUAUGUUAGCCGGGCGACGGUUGUCCCGGUUUAAGCAUGUAGGCUGGUUAUCCAGGCAAAUCCGGAUAAUCAAGGCUGAGGUGUGAUGACGAGGCACUACGGUGCUGAAGUAACAAAUGCCCUGCUUCCAGGAAAAGCCUCUAAGCAUCAGGUAACAUCAAAUCGUACCCCAAACCGACACAGGUGGUCAGGUAGAGAAUACCAAGGCGCUUGAGAGAACUCGGGUGAAGGAACUAGGCAAAAUGGUGCCGUAACUUCGGGAGAAGGCACGCUGGUGUGUAGGUGAAGUCCCUGCGGAUGGAGCUGAGACCAGUCGAAGAUACCAGCUGGCUGCAACUGUUUAUUAAAAACACAGCACUGUGCAAACACGAAAGUGGACGUAUACGGUGUGACGCCUGCCCGGUGCCGGAAGGUUAAUUGAUGGGGUUAUCCGUAAGGAGAAGCUCUUGAUCGAAGCCCCGGUAAACGGCGGCCGUAACUAUAACGGUCCUAAGGUAGCGAAAUUCCUUGUCGGGUAAGUUCCGACCUGCACGAAUGGCGUAAUGAUGGCCAGGCUGUCUCCACCCGAGACUCAGUGAAAUUGAACUCGCUGUGAAGAUGCAGUGUACCCGCGGCAAGACGGAAAGACCCCGUGAACCUUUACUAUAGCUUGACACUGAACAUUGAGCCUUGAUGUGUAGGAUAGGUGGGAGGCUUUGAAGCGUGGACGCCAGUCUGCGUGGAGCCAACCUUGAAAUACCACCCUUUAAUGUUUGAUGUUCUAACGUUGGCCCCUUAUCGGGGUUGCGGACAGUGUCUGGUGGGUAGUUUGACUGGGGCGGUCUCCUCCCAAAGCGUAACGGAGGAGCACGAAGGUUAGCUAAUCCUGGUCGGACAUCAGGAGGUUAGUGCAAUGGCAUAAGCUAGCUUGACUGCGAGCGUGACGGCGCGAGCAGGUGCGAAAGCAGGUCAUAGUGAUCCGGUGGUUCUGAAUGGAAGGGCCAUCGCUCAACGGAUAAAAGGUACUCCGGGGAUAACAGGCUGAUACCGCCCAAGAGUUCAUAUCGACGGCGGUGUUUGGCACCUCGAUGUCGGCUCAUCACAUCCUGGGGCUGAAGUAGGUCCCAAGGGUAUGGCUGUUCGCCAUUUAAAGUGGUACGCGAGCUGGGUUUAGAACGUCGUGAGACAGUUCGGUCCCUAUCUGCCGUGGGCGCUGGAGAAUUGAGGGGGGCUGCUCCUAGUACGAGAGGACCGGAGUGGACGCAUCACUGGUGUUCGGGUUGUCAUGCCAAUGGCACUGCCCGGUAGCUAAAUGCGGAAGAGAUAAGUGCUGAAAGCAUCUAAGCACGAAACUUGCCCCGAGAUGAGUUCUCCCUGAGACUUUAAGUCUCCUGAAGGAACGUUAAAGACGAUGACGUUGAUAGGCCGGGUGUGUAAGCGCAGCGAUGCGUUGAGCUAACCGGUACUAAUGAACCGUGAGGCUUAACCUUACAACGCCGAAG
rnacentral:rRNA from 1 species